rnacentral:rRNA from 1 species
AGCGAACGCUGGCGGCAGGCCUAACACAUGCAAGUCGAGCGGGCCCUUUCGGGGGUCAGCGGCGGACGGGUGAGUAACGCGUGGGAACGUGCCCAUCGGUUCGGAACAACCCAGGGAAACUUGGGCUAAUACCGGAUACGCCCCUCGGGGGGAAAGAUUUAUCGCCGAUGGAUCGGCCCGCGUCUGAUUAGCUUGUUGGCGAGGUAACGGCUCACCAAGGCGACGAUCAGUAGCUGGUCUGAGAGGANGAUCAGCCACACUGGGGCUGAGACACGGCCCAGACUCCUACGGGAGGCAGCAGGUGGGGAAUAUUGGACAAUGGGCGCAAGCCUGAUCCAGCCAUGCCGCGUGAGUGAUGAAGGCCCUAGGGUUGUAAAGCUCUUUCGCACGCGACGAUAAUGACGGUAGCGUGAGAAGAACG